rnacentral:lncRNA from 1 species
CUCGCCAGUGUAGCCCUUGGCGUUAUUCCAGGACCAGCGUCUUCUGUACGCUUACUCUGGGGUUCAGACUUCUGCGCCCCUGGCCGGCGGUGGCGCGCCUCCUCCACGCCUCUCUCCAGCCCUGAGCUCUCUGCGGCCGAAAGUGGCCGGGCAAGCGUUGCCAUGACAGCACCGCGGGUGGGGAUGCGGAGGGCAGAGCGCGCCGGCCCGCUAGCCCCUUUGUGCGGAAGGGGCGGCGGUGUGCUCCCCCCAGCCCGGCUGCACCCCGCUUUCCCGGCCAGGACUCUGGGCGAGGGAAAGGGGAGGGUUAGGUGUGGGGCUGUAGGGGCGCAAGGAGGAGGGAGAAGGGUGGAGGCGAGGGCCGCGGGUGGGGCGCCUCCGCCCGCCAGCCGCUCCCGCAUUAAAAUUUCAUGGGCGCUGCAGCAGCUACAAAGACGACGCCGGCUGCGCUCGGGGGACCGGAGGGAGGGAGGCUGCGGACGAGUGCGGGGAGGAGUUUGAGGUGGGAGGUGCUUGCAGGGACUCCCCCAGUUCUGCGCUGUGAGCCGGGGCACAAAGAGCCCUCUGCACUCGCGCCGCAGGACCGCGGACCCGAGAGCCUGCCAUUCCUUCACUUCUGGGACUCAAAUCCCGGAUGUCCGGCGUCCAAUUUGGCUCCCAAAGGAUGGAGAGGGCUGGUAACUUACCCUCGCUGAAAACAACAGUGACAUCAGUUUAUGGAGAGGUUACUCUACGCCAGGGACCUGCUUGGUGCUUUGCAAACGUUAUCACAACAAUUCCACGAGGUGGUCCUUUCUCUGGCUGUGAUCCAUGCUUCUUCCCCGGGCAGGAUGACACUCUUUGAAUUUCCUUAUUCAUCAAGGCAGUGCAGGGUGGUGGAAGGAGACGCAGCUGAGAGUUAUGCAGUUGGAGGCAUCUGUCCACCCACGUGGUUCCAGACACCUUCAUGUGGCCACCAUAACCCCAUCGGCAUCACAGGAGUAGCCAAGGUCCACAGAGCCAGGGGAAACAGUCACUGUGGACCAAGCCAGGCUCCUCUGAGCAGCCCAGGGUCUAUUUACAGAGAGCAGCAAGUUCCUGGGACAGAGGAGAGAGAAGGGAAUUUCCAGGUUCUUCAGGACGUUCACAACCAUGCUGAGAAGCAUCCUUGCAGAUAAGUAUUUAAACUCACCAGCCCGUAGCCUACCAGCCUGCCCUCUUCUGGUCUGUGCAGGAAAGUGCGGUAUCCUAGAAUCCCACAGUGGGAGGGGAAAUGGGUGAUGUAGCUCAUUCGCUUUUCUACCUCUAUGGAAGAAAGAAAGCGCUUGUCCCCAUUUUAUGGGGUCCCAGAAAGGGUGACUUUCACACCCCACUUUUGGCGUCAGGGUUAGUGUUUUAUAAACAUCACCAUGUGGAACUUUUGGACAGCUCAGUUAAAUGACUUCAUCUCUUGUGCCUGUAAAUCUGCUAUUAGAAGGAGGCUGGGGACUCCCGGGUGCUGUGAACUGGCCCUUCUUAGUUUCGGCAUUUUGUUAUUCUAUUUAUAAACCUUGGCUUGGGUUCCUUGGCCUUGAAGUUUAGUGGAAACUUCGCACUGUGCCUUUAGAUGCAUUUUUCUCAGUGCCAGAGUCUGAGUUCGUCUCCAGCUCUGGACUCGUGCCCUCACUCCUAGGUGCUGACAGCAAGCUCUGUAAAUCUGCUGAGAAGGCUCCCUGACUCUCCUGACUCAGGUCUGCCAUUGAUGAAGACAGCACAGCUGUUACCCAAAGCAAAACCUGGCAGGUGGUGCUAGGUCAGGAUUAGCGGUCAUUCUCUGGUCUUCUCCAGAUUGAUGACACAGGUUGGUCUUAAAGGAGUCCUACUCCAGCCUCCGGCUCCUCAAAUUUCCUCUGGUGCAGGGCACAUCAGGGAAGGGCAGGGGAGAAGGAGGGGAGCAGAAAAAUAACUGAGGCUGGGCAGAAGAGUCCCUUCUGUUUCCAUCUGCUGCUUAAACCAUGGGUUAUUGUUGUGCACUUCGAAUGUCAAGGCAGGAAGGGUCCCAGGGUCACCCAGUGUGGCAGGAGUAGAGCUGGGAUCAGAAUUCUGGAUUCCCAACUCUCCAUUCAGCUGCAAUUCAGCUGUCACCAAGCUGCUCAGUUUUUCCUCCUUUCUCCCUGGUUGCAUUCUGCUGCUGUUGGGAAACAGGGCGUGAGUGAAGGGAAUCCCUCUCCCCUCUCCGCUCACCUUUUUUUUUUUUUUUUGAGAUGAAGUUUCGCUGUUGUUACCCAGACUGUAGUGCAAUGGCGCGAUCUUGGCUCACCGCAACCUCCGCCUCCUGGGUUCAGGCAAUUCUCCUGCCUCAGCCUCCCGAGUAGCUGGGAUUACAGGCACGCGCCACCAUGCCCAGCUAAUUUUUGUAUUUUUAGUAGAGACGGGGUUUCACCAUGUUGACCAGGGAUGGUCUCGAUCUCUUGACCUCGUGAUCCACCCGCCUCGGCCUCCCAAAGUGCUGGGAUUACAGGCUUGAGCCACCGUGCCCGGCCUCCGCUCACCUUUUAAGGAUGUUGCGGGGUGGAGUAAAGGGAGGGGCAGGGUUGUGUGCCUGAGUCCAGCUUCUCUGGCUCCGGGGCCUUCUAUCUUCAGCAGGGAGUUCUGGCAAAGCCUGAGCCUGGGUAGAGGGCCUGGGUGCGGUUUUCUCCUGCCGUGUGGUUGGCUCUUUUGUCUUCCAGGAUGGCCUGUGGGGUCUGUGUGGGGAAGGAAGGAGCUGGGAGCCUGGGCUGUCUGUGUGCUGGCUACAUGCUGCCAGGUAAGCCUGGGAGGGAUUUGGGGAGGGAGGGAGGUCACACAGAGCUGAAUUUCAUGGGGGUAGGUUGUCCCUCCCACCUGUGCCCCCUCCUCAGGCCCAGAAUGCUUCUGCUCAUGAGAAGAUGGCCUGGGAGCCAGGUGGCUGGAAGGCUUGCUCUGUGUGGUCUUGGUGGGGGUGGGUGGGAUGGGAUGAGGACCAGUGUGGGUGAACUUGAGCAGAUAAUUUAGCAUGUUCCUUCAUUCAGCCCCGGCAUGGACCAAGUACCUUCUCUGAGCCAGGCGCUGGGGAUGCAGAGGUGAACCCAGAGACGUGGUCCUGUCUGCUCGGAUCUUCAUGUCAGAACACGCUUUAUUACAGUCUCAGCCAGGGGGUGAGCUCCCCGUCCUGGGAGCAGUGUGUGUAUGCGUGUGUGUGUGUGUGUGUGUGUGUGUGUGUGUGUGUGUUGAGGGUGGUGGUGUGCAGAGGUCCUCCCAGUGGGAAUGUUGUAAAAGGAAUUCAAGCCAUCAAAGGACUCUGAAGGUCCUUCCCACCCACUCAAACUGUUGCCCCUCCUCCACCCAUGAUGCUCCGGGGGCUUGCCAUGGGCUCCCUUUACUGCUUUUCCCCAGUCCCCUGAGCUAACCCUGCCUGGUGGAGAAUUCUCAGCUUUCAUCGCUUCCUCUUUACACAACAUUUUUUUUUCUUUUUCUUAGAGACAGGGUCUCACUUUGCCCAGGCUAGAGUGCAGUAUUGUGAUCACGGCUCACUGCAGCCUUGACCUCCUGGGCUCAAUACAUCCUCCCACCUCAACCUCCUGGGUAGUUGGGACUACAAGGGCAUGCGACCGUGCCUGGCUAAUUUUC